rnacentral:rRNA from 1 species
GAUGAACGCUGGCGGCGUGCUUAACACAUGCAAGUCGAACGAUGAAGCCCAGCUUGCUGGGUGGAUUAGUGGCGAACGGGUGAGUAACACGUGAGUAACCUGCACUUAACUCUGGGAUAAGCCUGGUAAACUGGGUCUAAUACCGGAUAGGAGCGUCCACCGCAUGGUGGGUGUUGGAAAGAUUUAUCGGUUUUGGAUGGACUCGCGGCCUAUCAGCUUGUUGGUGAGGUAAUGGCUCACCAAGGCGACGACGGGUAGCCGGCCUGAGAGGGUGACCGGCCACACUGGGACUGAGACACGGCCCAGACUCCUACGGGGGGCAGCAGUGGGGAAUAUUGCACAAUGGGCGCAAGCCUGAUGCAGCGACGCCGCGUGAGGGAUGACGGCCUUCGGGUUGUAAACCUCUUUCAGUAGGGAAGAAGCGAAAGUGACGGUACCUGCAGAAGAAGCACCGGCUAACUACGUG